rnacentral:lncRNA from 1 species
AGAGUUUGUAUUAAAGAUUUGAAUCUCUCCAUCAGAGUUUGCAAUUUACUUUUACGGUUUCCCACAAAGUUCCAAAUUUUUAGAACUAUCUUCAGCAGUUCCUUACAUCUCCUUUAUUUCCUGGUUAAUCAUGCAUCAUUAAAUUGCAUCUACAAAAUUGUGUAGCAUUUCCAUGUUUACAUGGAGCAUUACGCCAUAGAAAAAUUCAAACAUGCAUUGAAACAUGAGUCAAUUAGGGUCUUCUUAUUGAAAAUGUUCAUUUGAUGUAACUCUAGA